GAAAUGCGAUACGUAAUGUGAAUUGCAGACCGUGAAUCAUCUAAUCUUUGAACGCAUAUUGCGCUCUCUGGUAUUCCGGAGAGCAUGCCUGUUUGAGAAUCGAUAAACAUAAUCACCCCUUUGGGAUGUACCCUGGUACUAACAUUGGGAUGGACUUGGGCCCUUAUCUUUACCGAUAAUGCCUGUAAAAUAGCGUCGACCUUGGCUUUAUUGUUACUUGGAACGUGUUUACUUGACUUUGGUCAUUUGUACUUUCACUUAACGCUAAAAAUAGAGUCUAGAGGCGACUGAUUAACAAACUUUGGUUUGACCUCUACACUAACGUGUAAACUUGGUCUCAAAUCAGGCAAGAGUACCCGCUGAACUUAA
rnacentral:misc_RNA from 1 species